rfam:Dipodomys ordii contig_22189, whole genome shotgun sequence.
UGGAAAGUGGCUCAUUGGUAGAGUGCUUGCCUUGCAUGCAUGAGGCCCUGGGUUCGAUUUCUCAGUACCAC